rnacentral:rRNA from 1 species
AGAGUUUGAUCCUGGCUCAGGACGAACGCUGGCGGCGUGCCUAACACAUGCAAGUCGAACGGGGCAAUUUCUUCGGAGGUUGCUUAGUGGCGAACGGGUGAGUAACGCGUGAGAAACCUGCCUUUCAGUGGGGGACAACAGUUGGAAACGACUGCUAAUACCGCAUAACACUUUAGAAUCGCAUGAUUCAGAAGUCAAAGCUUAAUGUGCUGAAAGAUGGUCUCGCGUCUGAUUAGCUAGUUGGUGAGGUAACGGCUCACCAAGGCGACGAUCAGUAGCCGGUCUGAGAGGAUGAACGGCCACAUUGGGACUGAGAUACGGCCCAGACUCCUACGGGAGGCAGCAGUGGGGAAUAUUGGGCAAUGGGGGAAACCCUGACCCAGCAACGCCGCGUGAAGGAAGAAGGCCUUCGGGUUGUAAACUUCUUUUACCAGGGACGAAGAACGUGACGGUACCUGGAGAAAAAGCAACGGCUAACUACGUGCCAGCAGCCGCGGUAAUACGUAGGUUGCAAGCGUUGUCCGGAUUUACUGGGUGUAAAGGGCGUGUAGGCGGAGAUGCAAGUUGGGAGUGAAAUCCCGGGGCUCAACCCCGGAACUGCUUUCAAAACUGCAUCCCUUGAGUAUCGGAGAGGCAAGCGGAAUUCCUAGUGUAGCGGUGAAAUGCGUAGAUAUUAGGAGGAACACCAGUGGCGAAGGCGGCUUGCUGGACGACAACUGACGCUGAGGCGCGAAAGCGUGGGGAGCAAACAGGAUUAGAUACCCUGGUAGUCCACGCUGUAAACGAUGAAUACUAGGGGUGGGAGGACUGACCCC